rnacentral:ncRNA from 1 species
GACCGGAAAGAUGGUGAACUAUGCCUGAUCAGGUUAGGGGAAAUCCUGAUGGAGGAACUAAGCAAUUGUGACGUGCAAAUUAUUUUUCACAGAUAGAAAUAGAGACGAAAGACCAAUUUAGUAGUUGG